rnacentral:rRNA from 1 species
UACUAAGGGGGCUAGCGUUGUUCGGAAUUACUGGGCGUAAAGCGCAUGUAGGCGGAUUGAUAAGUCAGGGGUGAAAUCCCGAGGCUCAACCUCGGAACUGCCUUUGAUACUGUCAGUCUUGAGUCCGGGAGAGGUGAGUGGAACUCCGAGUGUAGAGGUGAAAUUCGUAGAUAUUCGGAAGAACACCAGUGGCGAAGGCGGCUCACUGGCCCGGUACUGACGCUGAGAUGCGAAAGCGUGGGGAGCAAAC